AUUGAACGCUGGCGGCAUGCUUUACACAUGCGAGUCGAACGGCAGCGCGGGCUUCGGCCUGGCGGCGAGUGGCGAACGGGUGAGUAAUGCAUCGGAACGUGCCCAGUAGUGGGGGAUAGCCCGGCGAAAGCCGGAUUAAUACCGCAUACGACCUGAGGGUGAAAGCGGGGGACCGAAAGGCCUCGCGCUAUUGGAGCGGCCGGUGUCGGAUUAGCUAGUUGGUGGGGUAAAGGCUUACCAAGGCGACGAUCCGUAGCUGGUCUGAGAGGACGACCAGCCACACUGGGACUGAGACACGGCCCAGACUCCUACGGGAGGCAGCAGUGGGGAAUUUUGGACAAUGGGGGCAACCCUGAUCCAGCCAUGCCGCGUGCGGGAAGAAGGCCUUCGGGUUGUAAACCGCUUUUGUUCGGGAAGAAAUCCUCUGGGCUAAUACCCCGGGGGGAUGACGGUACCGGAAGAAUAAGCACCGGCUAACUACGUG
rnacentral:rRNA from 1 species